rnacentral:rRNA from 1 species
AAUAAUACAACUUUAUUUUUUCGGUUUUAAUUGUGCGGGUAUUUUUGAUUAAAUAUUGAGUUUUAUUGAGUGAAAUCCUAAUACUUGAGGCUUAGUCAUUAAGUUUCGUUGAGGUUGUGAAACUUUGAUUAUAAACUAGGAUUAGAUACCCUAUUAUUCAAAGUGUAAAAGUUUUACUGGAAUAUUAUUAGUUAUGGUCUUUAAAAUUAAAAAUUUUGGCGGUAUUUUAGUCCAUUCAGAGGAACCUGUUCUGUAAUCGAUAGUCCACGAUUAACCUUACUUUUGUUUAAAAUUUGUAUAUCGUCGUAGUUUGAAUUUUUUAGGAGGACUAUGAAUGUUCAAGAUAAGAGAAUGCUUAGGAAAUCAGAUCAAGAUGCAGUUUAUAUAAAAGAAGAAAUGGGUUACAUUAAAAUUAUUUGAGGAUUUGAUCAUGAAAAGUUAGAUUAAUUUGGAUUUGAGGGUAAAUUUGAAUAUAUAUUUAGAUUGAUUUGGCUCUAAAGUAUGUACAUAUCGCCCGUCGCUUUCACUUCAAGGUGGAAUAAGUCGUAACAAAGUAGGCCUACUGGAAAGUGGGCCUAGAUCGACAAAUUGGAGCUUGAUAUAAAGCAUUUUAUUUACAUUAAAGAGUUAGCUGUGAAAUUCAGCUUGAUUUGAGUGGAAAAUUUUAUUUUGUAACUUUUGUCUAGUGAUUGUUAAUAUAAGUAAAUUUUUGUAUUAUUAUUAGAAUAAAAAUAUAUCUUUUGUGAUAGUGAAUUAGUAUUGAAAAAGAAAAAUUUAAUAUACUUAGAAGAAUAAGAAGUUUU